UAUUAAGGUUGACCGGUGAGGUGAUGAAAGAUAUGCUUCAUCGUCGAGAAGAAAAUAACCUAGAUCGCCAGCUAAGACCCAUAAAUCAUCGCUCACUAAUAAAAAAGAUAAGGCUGUAGAUACAAUCAGGAAGGUGGUUUGCAUAGAAGUUGUCACCCCUAAAAGAGUGAGAAAUGGCUUAUUGAUUGAGCACUCUUGCGCCGAAGAUGGACGGGCUAGGCAGACAUGAAAAUGUAUGGUUAAAAAGUUGAUAACAUUUUU
rnacentral:rRNA from 1 species